rnacentral:rRNA from 1 species
UAAAGAAUCUUCCACAAUGGACGAAAGUCUGAUGGAGCGACACCGCGUGAAGGAUGAAGGCCCUUGGGUCGUAAACUUCUUUUUUGGGGGAAAAAUUCUGAUUGUACCCUAAGAAUAAGCACCGGCAAAUCACGUGCCAGCAGCCGCGGUAAUACGUGAGGUGCAAACGUUACCCGGAAUUAUUGGGCGUAAAGCGUCCGCAGGUGGCUUGGUAAGUAGGGUGUUAAAUCUUGAGGCUCAACUUCAAGACUGUGCCCUAAACUACCUUGCUAGAGAUUAGGAGAGGUGAGUGGAAUUCUGCAUGUAGGGGUAAAAUCCGUAGAUAUGCAGAGGAACACCAAAAGCGAAGGCAGCUCACUGGCCUAUAUCUGACACUCAUGGACGAAAGCGUAGGUAGCAAACGGGAUUAGAUACCCGGUAGUCUACGCCGUAAACGAUGAUCACUCGAUGUCGGGAGUUCGACCCUCUCGGUGUCUAAGCAAACGCG